AGAUGCGGAUUAGUGUUUGGAUCUCUUGAGGGAGAUGGAGGAAGGAAGGGGAAUGCCGUAAGAAGGUGUGGAGCCUUGUGGAGAGCAAGUUGCUUGUGUCCGGGAGGAGCAGGGCAAGGUGCCUGGUGGGCCUUGGCGUGGCGGCCAAUGGCCCAGCAGUCAAGAUGGGUUUUGCAGGAAGUUGUGAAGAGGAGAAGUAGAGUGCUGAGA